rnacentral:rRNA from 1 species
GUAGUCAUAUGCUUGUCUCAAAGAUUAAGCCAUGCAUGUCUGAGUAUAAGCUUUCAAACGGUAAGACUGCGAAUGGCUCAUUAAAACAGUUAUAGUUUAUUUGAUGGUCGUUAUUCUAUAUGGAUAACCGUAGUAAUUCUAGAGCUAAUACAUGCGUAAAAACCCGACCUUUGCGGAAGGGUUGUGUUUAUUAGAUACAGAGCCAACCUGGGCCCCGCCCAGAGUUUUUGGUGAUUCAUGAUAACCGAGCGAAUCGUAUGGCAUUGCCGACGAUAUAUCAUUCAAGUUUCUGACCUAUCAGCUUUCGAUGGUAGGGUAUUGGCCUACCAUGGCAAUGACGGGUAACGGAGAAUUAGGGUUCGAUUCCGGAGAGGGAGCCUGAGAAACGGCUACCACAUCUAAGGAAGGCAGCAGGCGCGCAAAUUACCCAAUCCUGACACAGGGAGGUAGUGACAAGAAAUAACAAUACGAGGCAAUUCUGUCUUGUAAUUGGAAUGAGUAAGGUUUAAAUCCUUUUACGAACUCAAUUGGAGGGCAAGUCUGGUGCCAGCAGCCGCGGUAAUUCCAGCUCCAAUAGCGUAUAUUAAAGUUGUUGCGGUUAAAAAGCUCGUAGUUGGAUUUCAGCCGAGGACGACCGGUCCUGCUUCGGUAGGAACCUGGUUUGGCCGAGGCAUCUCUUGGUGUACGCGUCGGCGAUUGAUCUCGCCACGCUGACUCCAGGGCUUUUACUUUGAGGAAAUUAGAGUGUUUCAAGCAGGCGUCUGCCUUGAAUACAUUAGCAUGGAAUAAUAGGAUAGGACUUCGGUCCUAUUUUGUUGGUUUCUGGGACUGAAGUAAUGAUUAAUAGGGAUAGUCGGGGGCAUUCGUACUUAACUGUCAGAGGUGGAAUUCUUAGAUUUGUUAAAGACGAACUACUGCGAAAGCAUUUGCCAAGGAUGUUUUCAUUGAUCAAGAACGAAAGUUAGGGGAUCGAAGACGAUUAGAUACCGUCCUAGUCUUAACCAUAAACCAUGCCGACUAGGGAUUGGAGGUCCUUACAUUGUGAGGCCUUCAGCAUCUCGUGAGAAAUCAAAGUUUAUGGGUUCCGGGGGGAGUAUGGUCGCAAGGCUGAAACUUAAAGGAAUUGACGGAAGGGCACCACCAGGAGUGGAGCCUGCGGCUUAAUUUGACCCAACACGGGGAACCUCACCAGGUCCAGACAUAGUAAGGAUUGACAGAUUGACAGCUCUUUCUUGAUUCUUUGGGUGGUGGUGCAUGGCCGUUCUUAGUUGGUGGAGUGAUCUGUCUGGUUAAUUCCGUUAACGAACGAGACCUUAGCCUGCUAAAUAGCCACCUGUUAGCCCUGCUAACUUGGUCGGCUUCUUAGAGGGACUUUGUGUGUUAUAAUGCAAGGAAGUUUGAGGCAAUAACAGGUCUGUGAUGCCCUUAGAUGUCCUGGGCUGCACGCGCGCUACACUGACAC